rnacentral:rRNA from 1 species
AUGGGCAAAGAAGACUCGCCAUGUUUCAUAAGGGAUGGUCUGAAAAGACUCUCAACCCUGCCAAUGCACAUAGAUGCGUGGAAGAAAUCAGCCACCCAAGUACCUACAAUGAUGUCUCUAAUCCGGGCCAAGGCUUAUGUGCUAGAAAUGGAUCCAUCUGAGAUGGCUGGCGGGUUUCAAUACGUAUGGUACUCGAUUCACGGCAAAGGACUAUGCCCGCUGCAUGAAAGAAACUCGUGUCUUGGUGAGUCAAUUGGUUCAAGGCCUCGAUCUGAAGAAAUAUCGGGCGGCUUACAAUGA